rnacentral:rRNA from 1 species
AGUUUGAUCCUGGCUCAGGAUGAACGCUGGCGGCGUGCUUAACACAUGCAAGUCGAACGAUGAAGCCCAGCUUKCUGGGUGGAUUAGUGGCGAACGGGUGAGUAACACGUGAGUAACCUGCCCUUAACUCUGGGAUAAGCCUGGGAAACUGGGUCUAAUACCGGAUAGGAGCGCCYACCGCAUGGUGGGUGUUGGAAAGAUUUAUCGGUUUUGGAUGGACUCGCGGCCUAUCAGCUUGUUGGUGAGGUAAUGGCUCACCAAGGCGACGACGGGUAGCCGGCCUGAGAGGGUGACCGGCCACACUGGGAYUGAGACACGGCCCAGACUCUACGGGAGGCAGCAGUGGGGAAUAUUGCACAAUGGGCGCCUACUGAAAGAGGUUUACAACCCGAAGGCCGU